rnacentral:rRNA from 17 species
GUAAUGAUUAAUAGGCAUAGUCGGGGGCGUCAGUAUUCAGCUGUCAGAGGUGAAAUUCUUGGAUUUGCUGAAGACUAACUACUGCGAAAGCAUUCGCCAAGGAUGUUUUCAUUAAUCAGGGAACGAAAGUUAGGGGAUCGAAGACGAUCAGAUACCGUCGUAGUCUUAACCAUAAACUAUGCCGACUAGGGAUCGGACGGGAUUCUAUAAUGACCCGUUCGGCACCUUACGAGAAAUCAAAGUUUUUGGGUUCUGGGGGGAGUAUGGUCGCAAGGCUGAAACUUAAAGAAAUUGACGGAAGGGCACCACAAGGCGUGGAGCC